rnacentral:RNase_P_RNA from 1 species
AGUCAGCCGGGUGAUCGCGGCACACCGUACCGCCACGCAGGUGGGCAGGCGAUGGUCGAGGAAAGUCCGGACUCCACAGGGCACGGUGGUUGCUAACAGCAACCCGGAGUGAUCCGCGGGAAAGUGCAACAGAAAGUAGACCGCCUGGGCAACCAGGUAAGGGUGAAAGGGUGCGGUAAGAGCGCACCGGCGCCUGUGGUGACACAGACGGCCAGGUAAACCCCACCGGGAGCAAGGCAAGAACCCCUGCCGCGUACGGCAGAGGUUGUCGGACGUGAUGAGGCUGCCCGCCCAGGUCCGAAGGUAGCUGCUUGAGGCCCCCAGUGAUGGGACGCCCAGAUGGAUGAUCACCGCCCCGCCGCCUUUGGCGGGGAACAGAAUCCGGCUCAUAGGCUGACUCAU